rnacentral:rRNA from 1 species
UACGAAGGGGGCUAGCGUUGCUCGGAAUCACUGGGCGUAAAGGGUGCGUAGGCGGGUCUUUAAGUCAGGGGUGAAAUCCUGGAGCUCAACUCCAGAACUGCCUUUGAUACUGAAGAUCGUGAGUUCGGGAGAGGUGAGUGGAACUGCGAGUGUAGAGGUGAAAUUCGUAGAUAUUCGCAAGAACACCAGUGGCGAAGGCGGCUCACUGGCCCGAUACUGACGCUGAGGCACGAAAGCGUGGGGAGCAAACAGG